CCUACGGGUGGCAGCAGUGGGGAAUUGUUCGCAAUGGGCGCAAGCCUGACGACGCAACGCCGCGUGGAGGACGAAGAUCUUCGGGUCGUAAACUCCUGUCGAGUGGGAAGAAUGCUUCGGGGGUGAAUAACCUCCGGAAUUGACGGUACCACUAAAGGAAGCCCCGGCUAACUCCGUGCCAGCAGCCGCGGUAAUACGGGGGGGGCAAGCGUUGUUCGGAAUUACUGGGCGUAAAGGGCUCGUAGGCGGCCAACUAAGUCGGAUGUGAAAUCCCCAGGCUUAACCUGGGAACUGCAUCCGAUACUGGAUGGCUUGAAUUCGGGAGAGGGAUGCAGAAUUCCAGGUGUAGCGGUGAAAUGCGUAGAUAUCUGGAGGAAUACCGGUGGCGAAGGCGGCAUCCUGGACCGACAUUGACGCUGAGGAGCGAAAGCUAGGGGAGCAAACGGGAUUAAAUACCCUUGUAGUC
rnacentral:misc_RNA from 1 species